CUACGGGGUGCACCAGUGGGGAAUAUUGGACAAUGGGGGAAACCCUGAUCCAGCAAUGCCGCGUGUGUGAAGAAGGCCUGCGGGUUGUAAAGCACUUUCGGUUGGGAGGACUGCUUCUAGCACUAAUAUUGUUGGAAGUUGACGUUACCUUCAGAAGAAGCACCGGCUAGCUCAGUGCCAGCAGCCGCGGUAAUACUGAGGGUGCAAGCGUUAAUCGGAAUUACUGGGCGUAAAGCGCGCGUAGGUGGUUAGAUCAGUUGGGUGUGAAAGCCCCGGGCUCAACCUGGGAAUUGCAUCCGAUACUGUCUAGCUUGAGUACAGGAGAGGAGAGUGGAAUACCACAUGUAGCGGUGAAAUGCGUAGAUAUGUGGAGGAACACCAAUGGCGAAGGCAGCUCUCUGGCCUGAUACUGACGCUGAGGUGCGAAAGCGUGGGGAGCAAACAGGAUUAGAUACCCCCGUAGUC
rnacentral:rRNA from 1 species